AUUGAACGCUGGCGGCAUGCUUUACACAUGCAAGUCGAACGGCAGCGCGGGGGCAACCUGGCGGCGAGUGGCGAACGGGUGAGUAAUAUAUCGGAACGUACCCAGAAGUGGGGGAUAACGUAGCGAAAGUUACGCUAAUACCGCAUACGAUCUACGGAUGAAAGUGGGGGACCUUCGGGCCUCAUGCUUUUGGUAGCGGCCGAUAUCUGAUUAGCUAGUUGGUAGGGUAAAGGCCACCAAGGCGACGAUCAGUAGCUGGUCUGAGAGGACGACCAGCCACACUGGGACUGAGACACGGCCCAGACUCCUACGGGAGGCAGCAGUGGGGGAAUUUUGGACAAUGGGCGCAAGCCUGAUCCAGCAAUGCCGCGUGAGUGAAGAAGGCCUGGUGUAAG
rnacentral:rRNA from 1 species